rnacentral:rRNA from 1 species
AAUAUUGGACAAUGGGUGUAAUCCUGAUCCAGCCAUGCCGCGUGUGGGAAGAAGAUCUUCGGAUGGUAAAGCACUUUAAGUAGGGAGGAAGGGCUUUAGGCUAAUACCCGGAAGUUUUGACGAUACCAACAGUAUAAGCACUGGCUAACUCUGUGCCAUCAGCCGCGGUAAUACAGAGGGUGCAAUCGUUAACCGGAAUUACUGGGCGUAAAGCGCGCGUAGGUGGUUCAGUAAGAUGUGUGUGAAAGCCCCGGGCUUAACCUGGGAACUGCUUUCAUAACUGCUGAGCUAGAGUACGGUAGAGGGUAGUGGAAUUUCCUGUGUAGCGGUGAAAUGCGUAGAUAUAGGAAGGAACACCAGUGGCGAAGGCGACUACCUGGACUGAUACUGACACUGAGGUGCGAAAGCGUGGGGAGCAAACA